rnacentral:rRNA from 1 species
GUCUACGGCCAUACCACCCUGACCGCACCCGAUCUCAUCUGACCCUGGAAGCUAAGCAGGGUCGGGCCUGGUUAGUACUUGGAUGGGAGAAAAGCCAGAUCGAUGACA